rnacentral:lncRNA from 10 species
AGAAGUCUGGAAUGAAGCGGCCGGGUUCUCUGAUCAGAGUCAUGUGAGACUAAAAUCCGGGAAUGGGCUGGCUAUGUUUUUUUCCUAGAGCUCAAGCUAUUUUUCCAGGUUCACUACAGAUAAUGAAAGAGUUCCUAUUCUUGUUUGUGGGGGACUGAGGGCCCUUUUUCUGUGCUGGCUGUCAGCAGGGAGACACUCUACUCUGACUCCAGAGGCCACGUGCUUUCCUCCUUACCUGUCUGUUUCAUCUUUCAACCAAUAACAACUUAUGGAGUCCUUCUCAAGCUCCCACCUUCUCUGACUUCAUCUUCUCCAACCAGCCACACAAAGCUCUGUCAUGUGUGGAGUGAUGUGAUUAGAUCCAGUUCAUGCGGUAACCUCACCAUCUUAAAGUCAUAUAACUGGCAUAUAACAACAUAGUCACAGGAAUGGUGUCUCAUCACGUUAAGAGGCUUUAGAGACAAGGGUGUGGCAUGUUUGGGGACCAUUUCAGAAAUUCCAUCUACCACAGUAGGACACGCACAUUCCCCCAUCUGCAAAGUGCAUUUACCCUCUCCCCUGAGGUUUCCAGAUUUCAUGUCAUUAAAGCAUUAGUUCAACAUGAAAAAUGUCAUGUAGACCACAUCAGAUCAAAAGUUUAAAAUCCCAUCUAAAACAUCCACACCAGGUGUGAAUGAGGCUUCCGAGAGUGUCCAUUAAGUGCAGAUCCUUGACAUAAUUCCCUUACCUCUGUCGACCUGUGAAACUGAACAAAC